UACGUAGGGUCCAAGCGUUAUCCGGAAUCACUGGGCGUAAAGCGUGCGUAGGUGGAUUGUUAAGUGCGAUGCGAAAUCCUGUGGCUCAACCAUAUGGACUGUAUCGCAUACUGGCAAUCUAGAGGACAUGAGAGGCAAGUGGAAUUACCGGUGUAGCAGUGAAAUGCGUAGAUAUUCGCAAGAACACCAGUGGCGAAGGCGGCUCACUGGCCCGGUACUGACGCUGAGGUGCGAAAGCGUGGGGAGCAAACAGG
rnacentral:rRNA from 1 species